rnacentral:rRNA from 1 species
CUACGGAGGGUGCAAGCGUUAAUCGGAAUUACUGGGCGUAAAGAGUACGUAGGUGGUUCGUUAAGUCAGAUGUGAAAGCCCAGGGCUCAACCUUGGAACUGCAUUUGAUACUGGCGAACUAGAGUAUGGUAGAGGGGGGUAGAAUUCAUAGUGUAGCGGUGAAAUGCGUAGAUAUUAUGAGGAAUACCAGUGGCGAAGGCGGCCCCCUGGACCAAUACUGACACUGAGGUACGAAAGCGUGGGUAGCGAACAGGAUUAGAAACCCCAGUAGUCC